rnacentral:rRNA from 1 species
UACGAGGGGAGCAAGCGUUGUUCGGAUUUACUGGGCGUAAAGGGCGCGUAGGCGGUCGUGACAAGUCACUUGUGAAAUCUCCGGGCUUAACUCGGAACGGUCAAGUGAUACUGUCGGACUAGAGUACAGAAGGGGCAACUGGAAUUCUCGGUGUAGCGGUGAAAUGCGUAGAUAUCGAGAGGAACACCUGCGGCGAAGGCGGGUUGCUGGGCUGAUACUGACGCUGAUGCGCGAAGGCCAGGGGAGCGAACGGG